rnacentral:pre_miRNA from 1 species
CAGCUACUCCCUCUGUCCCAAAUUUCUUGUCUUAGAUUUGUCUAGAUAUGGAUGUAUCUAAUACUAAAAUGUGACUUGAUACAUCUGUAUCUAGACAAAUCUAAGACAAGAAUUUUGGGACGGAGGGAGUACUUU